rnacentral:lncRNA from 1 species
GUCAAAAUGUUUCUUUUAGGUGUUGACAAAAAUGUUGAAAUCAGAAUGCUGAUAGCUGUCAAUUCGAUCAUCAGCAACGAGACUUACUUUUAUUAAGGUUGUUCAAAAUGCUGUAUUAAAUGCACAUACAACAUCAUGACUAUUUGUGGCAUAACUGAAUUGACAGUAGUCAUUUUUUCUGUUGUAAAUCCUAGGCACUGAUUCAGCUUAUAAGAAAAUAAAACAAAUAAGUAUACAACCCGACCCUGAAUCUUUUUAACCAUACUGCAUCUUAUUAACUAAUCCCCCAUUUUGUAAGCACAUGAUUCUGCCAGCAAUAUUUUCUCAUUCUGAGCAGGAUCAGAGGUGUUAGUGGCAGAAGUCAACAUACCAAGAAAGUGUCUGCUUUUGUUCUGACUGCACUGGAGAGCAAGAAGCAGAGAGUUGUACACGAGAGCUUUCCUUCUGCUCCCCAGCCUUCUUGGAUGGAAGUGGCUGAAAAUUUGGACAGGUCUUGGGUUAAUUUUGGCACUCCCAAAUACUUUUCCAGCCCAAGUCCAGUCUCUAAACCAUAUACAUGGAAGGACAAGAAGACAUGAAAGAUGUUUCAAGCAGAGUUUGCAAGAAAGACAGGAAAGAGUCUGAGAAAGAAGUCUGUGAUUACUCCUGAAGAUGAUGAUUAAACAGGCUCAAGCUUCCUCUUUGGUUGAUGUGAAUUCUGAACAAUUUCCAUAGGCUCACAUGGAUUUCUUUCGGGUCUGUAUUGGUGCAGCUAAAGUUGG